rnacentral:rRNA from 1 species
ACAGCAGCAGCCACGGGAAUACGUAGGGUGCGAGCGUUAAUCGGAAUCACUGGGCGUAAAGCGUGCGCAGGCGGUUUUGUAAGACAGGCGUGAAAUCCCCGGGCUUAACCUGGGAACUGCAUUUGUGACUGGCGAGCUAGAGUAUGGCAGAGGGGGGUAGAAUUCCACGUGUAGCAGUGAAAUGCGUAGAGAUGUGGAGGAAUACCGAUGGCGAAGGCAGCCCCCUGGGCCAAUACUGACGCUCAUGCACGAAAGCGUGGGGAGCAAACAGGAUUAGAGACCCCAGUAGUCCCUGUCUCUUAUAC